UGUCAGCAUGCCUGUUACCUUCAUUUCUCAUGCAGAACUGAAGUGAAGUCCCAAGGGUGCAAGCAACUGAACCUCUAGGAGCAUCGCCCUGGUAUAAAGGUGGCGCAAACAGAACUUUUCAUUUGUUAUAGGUUUUUAUCCUUUGCAUUUGUCCAUUUGUGGCAAGUACUUAAUCUGUAAACAGAAAGCCGGGUGGCUCCUCGGGUUUAUAGCGAGGUCUUGGGGAGCUCAAGUCCUUCUUUGCACAACUGAAGUUCCAGCAGCAAAGUGAAUCACAGCCUUCAUCUUCAAAAUGGGUCUCUUUGGGGUGCUUCCCUCCUUCUUCCUGCUUUCCUGCAUCAUCUUCUUGCUCAUCCUGAUCAGGAGGAGGCACAUCAAGGCGGGCAACCUGCCCCCUGGGCCUACCCCACUGCCUUUGCUGGGCAACUUUCUCCAAGUCAAUUUUUGGAACACCAUCUCAUCUUUCUACAAGCUCAAGGAGAAGUAUGGUCCAGUUUUCACCAUCUACAGGGGCUCCUCGCCAGUUGUGGUGUUGUGUGGAUAUAAAACCGUGAAGGAAGCAUUUAUAAAUAAUGCAGAAAUUUUUGGUGAUAGGGGUCCGCUGAUAGAAAUGGGUGAUUCCAACAAGUAUGGAAUGGGUUUGUCCAACGGAGAACGGUGGAGGCAGCUCCGUCGCUUCUCCCUUUUCACCCUGAGGAACUUUGGGAUGGGGAAGAGACCCUUUGAGGAGCGUAUCCAGGAGGAGGCCCAGUUCCUCGUGGAAGCACUGCAGAAAACACAAGGGCAUCCAUUUGAUCCUACUGUUUACCUCAAUCAUGCCGUCUGUAACAUCAUCUGCUGUGCAGUGUUUGGCAACCGGUUUGAAUAUGAGGACAAGUACUUGGCUAAUUUAGUUAACCUGAUAAGCGCAUUCUUGCAAUUUAGAUCAUCCCCCUCUGUGCAGGUAAAGGUUUUUUUCCCAGACUUGAUGAGGAUCCUGCCUGGCCCCCACAACAAACUGGCCAGAUACUUAAAUGACUUAAAAAGCUUUGUCAUGCAGAGGGUCCAGAUGCACCGGGAGUCAUUUGAUCCAAAUUGCCCUCGUGGCUUUAUUGACUGUUUCCUUGCCAAAAUGGAGCAGGAGAAGGAGAAUCCAGCUUCUGAAUUCCAUGACAAAAGCCUUUCUGCUUCAAUUCUCAACCUGUUGAUAGCAGGGACAGAGGCGGUCAGUGUCACCAUCCGAUAUGGGCUUCUCAUCCUCCUCCGGUACCCAGAGAUAGAAGCAAAGGUCCAAGAGGAGAUUGACCGUGUCAUUGGGAGGAACCGGAGCCCAAGCAUGGAGGACCGGACCCGGAUGCCCUACACAGAUGCAGUCAUCCAUGAGAUCCAGCGGUUUGGAGACAUCGCUCCACUGUCGCUGCCUCAUCUAGUGACCAGUGACACACAGUUCCAGGGGUACAGCCUUCCCAAGGGCACCAACAUUUUGGCAAUCCUAUCAACUGUCCUGCAUGACCCCCAAUACUUUGAGACGCCAGAGAAGUUCAACCCUGGCCACUUUCUGGAUGAAAAUGGGGCCUUUAAGAAGAACGAGGCUUUCCUGCCAUUUUCAGCAGGGAAAAGGAUUUGCCCAGGUGAAAGCUUGACCCGCAUGGAGCUCUUCCUAUUAUUCACGACUUUGUUGCAAAACCUAAAUGUGAAAACUCUCCAGGACCGAGACAAAAUAGACCUUUCGCCAGUAUUUCAGUGUAGCAGUAAACGUCCCAGACCCUAUCGUCUUUGCAUGGUUCCACGGUGAAUGGGCUCUGAUGAACAAGAGCUGUGAUGUCUGGCAGUCACAGAUGCAUGUGAGGCCGCCUUGAACAAAUUAGGAGAACUCCUGCCCUAAAGCAUCUUUUAGCAUUGAAAACGUUGUCCCAAACAGGCUGAAAGAGAUUGGAGAACUUUGGGAAGGAUGCUGUCCUCGCAUCAGGCCAUUGUCUCCAUAGCAGCCCCUUCUGCUGUUUCAGAGCUGCGUAGGGAGCAACCCACAGGGACCGCUGCCCAACCAUCACCCAGAUGCUCUACUGCAAAGUCAUUAACCGAACACAACUCAAAAGGAACCCACAAGGGCCUCCUCUGGGGAGGGGCUGGCAUUGCCACCACCUUAAAUUCCCCGACUUGGCUGCGCUCAGGUGGGGUGCGAGGCUCCAGCAGCCCCUCUGAGAGAUCAUGCUCCCCCUGUCAGAUGCAGGCCUGGGGGAGCCCCAUGUUAUCUCUCCGUUGGCAACAGAUGCCUGACAAUCGGCUUGCCAGCCUCUGCCCCUCCCUCUCUUCCCAGGCCACCGCACAAGCCUUCAUUGGCUUUCAAGUUUUUGUUUUCUGUUCUGACACCCUCUGCUGAAUUGGAUUCCCCCAUUCCCCUUCUGUCCAAAAUGUAGAACACCCGAGAGAUAAAAAUGAUGCUGCUUCGCUCUUA